rnacentral:rRNA from 1 species
CCUACGGGUGGCAGCAGUGAGGACUAUUGGUCAAUGGACGAGAGUCUGAACCAGCCAAGUAUCGUGAAGUAUGACUGCCCUCUGGGUUGUAAACUUCUUUUAUAUUGGAAUACAAUGUUCCACGUGUGGGAUUUUGUAUGUACCCUAUGAAUAAGUAUCGGCUACCUCCGUGCCAGCAGCCGCGGUAAUACGGAGGAUCCGAGCGUUAUCCGGAUUUAUUGUGUUUAAAGGGAGCGUAGGUGGAUUGUUACGUCAGUUGUGAAAGUUUGCGGCUCAACAGUAAAAUUGCAGUUGAAACUGGCAGUCUUGAGUACAGUAGAGGUGGGCGGAAUUCGUGGUGUAGCGGUGAAAUGCUUAGAUAUCACGAAGAACUCCGAGUGCGAAGGCAGUUCACUGGACUGCAACUGACACUGAGGCUCGAAAGUGUGGGUAUCAAACAGGAUUAGAUACCCCAGUAGUC